rnacentral:rRNA from 1 species
GACGAACGCUGGCGGCGUGCCUAAUACAUGCAAGUAGAACGCUGUUGCGAACGGUUGAGUAACGCGUAGGUAACCUGCCUCCUCCCGGCGGAUAACUAUUUGAAACGAUAGCUAAUACCGCAUACUGUGAGAUGGACCUGUGUUGUAUUCGCUAGUUGGUGAGGUAAAGGAUCACCAAGGCGACGAUACAUAGCCGACCUGAGAGGGUGAACGGCCAAAGUGGGACGGGGACACGGGCCAGACUACUACUGGGAGCAGCAGUAGGGAAACUUAGGGAAAUGAAGAAAGGCUGAACGAACAACGGCGCGGGAGUGAAAGAGGGUUUUGGAACAGAAAGAACUGUUGUUAGGGAAACGGUAACUAACCAGAAGGGGACGGCUAACUACGUGCCAGCAGCCGCGGUAAUUC